CUACGGGUCGCAGCAGGCGCGAAACCUUUACAAUGCACGAAAGUGUGAUAAGGGGAUCCGAAGUGCUUAUACAUUGUAUAGGCUUUUGCCAAAGGUAAAGUCUUUGGCGAAUAAGUGGUGGGCAAGACUGGUGCCAGCCGCCGCGGUAACACCAGCGCCACGAGUGGCAACCAUGUUUAUUGGGCCUAAAGCGUUCGUAGCCGGUUUUGUAAAUCUUCUGUGAAAUUGUGCAGCUCAACUGUACAGCGUGCAGGAAACACUGCAAAACUAGAGACCGGGAGGAGCUGAGGGUAUUCUUGGGGGAGCGGUAAAAUGUUGUGAUCCCUUGAAGACCACCUGUGGCGAAGGCGCUCAGCUAGAACGGAUCUGACGGUGAGGGACGAAAGCCAGGGGAGCGAUCCGGAUUAGAUACCCCCGUAGUC
rnacentral:rRNA from 1 species